rnacentral:misc_RNA from 1 species
GAGUAAGGGAUAUUUGUAAUCACUGAUCUUGAGAGAUCGACCAAAUAAUGUAAGCUGAUCAUUUGAAAAUGAAAUGUACUUUUACUUAUUAAAAUUGAUUUCGUUUAUUCUGCUUUUAUUUUAUCAUUGCAUUGAUUAUUUUUUCGAUCUCUAUUAAUUGUAUCUGAUCUGAUCCCUAAUCGAAUCCCAAAUUCCACCGAUCUCCUUCGUCCGAACUUCGUUAUUAUCCACUUUAUGGUAACUCCCUGCAACCGCCCUUACUUGCUCAAUCUUCCUGCUUCUGGAAUUUUCCUUUCACGCAAAAUUGAAGUGACUGGAUUUUCGCUAAUCGAUGCGUCACUUAGGGUAUCGCGAGCAUUUAAUGGUUGGACUAGUAUAA